GUCCCAGUUCGGAUUGUGGUCUGCAACCCGACUACAUGAGGCCGGAAUCGCUAGUAAUCGCGGAUCAGAAUGCCGCGGUGAAUACGUUCCCGGGUCUUGUACACACCGCCCGUCACACCAUGGGAGUCGGAAAUGCCCGAAGCCGGUGACCCAACCCGAAAGGGAGGGAGCCGUCGAAGGCAGGUCGGAUGACUGGGGUGAAGUCGUAACAAGGUAGC
rnacentral:rRNA from 1 species